UUGCAGAGUUCUUGCUGAAGUUACAUACUUUAGUACUUACCAACAACAUGCUAGUCAACUUGGUAGAGAUUGAUCCUCUUGCAUCCCUUUAGUAGUUGCAGUGUCUUAGCCUGUUGGAUAACAUCACAAAGAAACCCAAAUUAUAGGCUGUACGUGAUUCACAAAUUAAAGUCGCUUCGGAUUCUGGAUUUUAAUUAAGUGAAAGAUAAGUGCAUGUGUGCGGGCCUUUCAAUGGAGGAGCCCUUGAGGAAUCAAUUAUAGCCUUUGUUUGAGUCUUUGAGAGCAGGCGGUAUUGAAGAUGGUGAAGAACCCAAAUCAGCAGUAUUAGGGAAAUACAAGAAAGAGACGGGGGUAGCGUCUGCUGACAAUUAAUGGCAUGUCGUUCUUAUUAAGCUUGCAAAGAUGAAAAUGUUGGCUCAGUAUGCACAAGAGGAAGAUGAUGAUCAAGUCUAGUAAGUUCAUUCUUAGUUUGUUUGAUGUAUAUUAGCUGUGUUCAUAUCAUUUUUUUCUUUCUCAUCCCCAAAACAAUUCUGCUUCUUGGCUUUUGCAUCAACUUCUUGUAACAGUU